GACGAACGCUGGCGGCGUGCUUAACACAUGCAAGUCGAACGGAAAGGCCCUGCUUUUGUGGGGUGCUCGAGUGGCGAACGGGUGAGUAACACGUGAGUGACCUGCCCUUGACUUUGGGAUAACUUCAGGGAACUGGGGCUAAGAACGUAUAGGAGCUCCUGCUGCAUGGUGGUGGUAGGAAAUUUUCGACGGUUGGGGAUGGACUCGCGGCUUAUCAGCUUGUUGGUGGGGUAGUGGCUUACCAAGGCUUUGACGGGUAGCCGGCCUGAGAGGGUGACCGGCCACAUUGGGACUGAGCUACGGCCCAGCCUCCUACGGGAGGCAGCAGUGGGGAAUAUUGCAUAAUGGGCGGAAGCCUGAUGCAGCAACGCCGCGUGCGGGAUGACGGCCUUCGGGUUGUAAACCGCUUUCGCCUGUGACGGAGCGAGAGUGACGGUAAUGGGUAAAGAAGCACCGGCUAACUACGUG
rnacentral:rRNA from 1 species